rnacentral:misc_RNA from 1 species
UUCCAGCCGAAAGCAUAAGGAGAGCCGACAUGCAUGGAAUUGAGGCUGUCGACCCGUUUGUGUUCCGGUUGUCGAUUUUCGUUCUCGCGGUUUUCGUGGGUUAUUUCGUGGUGUGGUCGGUGACGCCUGCGCUUCAUACGCCGCUGAUGUCGGUGACCAACGCGAUUUCGUCGGUCAUCGUGGUCGGCGCGCUGCUGGCGACCGGUGUUGCGCAGGUCGGCAACGACGACGGUCCGUUGUGGGCGCGU